rnacentral:misc_RNA from 1 species
GCCAGAGCCAUAGAGUAAUGACGCAUCAGGCAGAGGGCUCCCACAGAGUUCCAAACCAGUGCUUCGUCUUCGGACCCCGAAGCCACCGCCAAGCUCUCAUUCUCUCUUCUAACAAAAAGUAAACCCUUUUCUCACCUUCCUUCGCUCUGUCUUUCUUCUUGCAAAGCCCUAACGGUCAACCAAUCAGGGAAAAAGAAAUGGUUUUUUUGCUUUCUAGAUGUUGGAAUUUGAAUUGAAAUAGUGAUUAGGGAGAAAGUAUAAGGCGGGUUUCAUUUGGGUAUUGGAGGGUUGGUUGGUUUGUUUAUUGUUUCUUUUCCCCCUUUUUGUUUGGGGUCGAGUAAUUGGAAAUGGAAGGAGGGUCUGGUAGCAAUUCUGUACCUCCUUCGGCUACGUUUGACAAAUCAAGAGUGUUGGAUGUCAAACCGCUGCGUAGUUUGGUUCCUGUGUUUCCAUCUAGUCCUCAGGCUCCUCCUUUUGUUUGUGCGCCUCCUUCUGGUCCUUUCCCGUCUGGUUUUUCCCCGUUUUACCCUUUUAAUGGACCGCAACCCACUCCUCCUGACCUCAACCAGCAUACCCACACUCCAGCGCCUCUUCGAUCUUUCCGGGCGCCACAGUCAAAUGGGAAGAUGGCUACAGAUGGGAACGCAGAUGGUUCCACAGGUGCCCCAACAAAGCGUCCUGUGGGGCGGCCAAGAUCCUCCUCCGCAUCCCAAAAGAAGGCCAAGAAAGACCUGGUUUUUACCUUGGCUGUUGUUGAUAAUAACUUCGUUUUGGGGAUUACUCCCGCUCAGAGGGAGGAUGGUGACACGGAAGUGGUGAAUAACGUGCGAAUGAGGUUUGAUGCCCUUAGGAGAAGGCUUAGCCAAUUAGAGGAUGCUAAGGAAUCGCCCAAUGGGUGGAUUAGGCGUGCAGAUUUGAAAGCAGCCAAUAUUAUGAUGAGCAAAGGGUUGAGGACGAAUCUGAGGAAGAGAGUUGGAGUGGUUCCUGGAGUUGAGGUUGGGGAUAUUUUCUUUUUCCGAAUGGAGAUGUGUUUAGUUGGGUUGCAUUCCCAGACCAUGGCUGGGAUUGAUUACAUGAUUGUGAGAGCUGAUAUAGAAGAAGAUCCACUGGCUGUAAGCAUUGUUUCUUCUGGUGGGUAUGAGGAUGAGGCAGAGGAUAGGGAUGUUUUAAUUUAUAGUGGGCAGGGUGGUAAUGUCAACAGCAACAAGAAGGAAGCAGCUGAUCAGAAACUUGAGAGGGGUAACCUUGCAUUGGAGAGGAGCUUGCAUCGUAACAAUGAGGUGAGAGUCAUUCGGGGUAUGAAGGAUGCCAUUAGUCCAACAGCAAAGGUCUAUGUGUAUGAUGGGCUUUAUAGGAUCCAGGAGUCAUGGGUGGAAAAGGGGAAAUCUGGUUGCAAUAUAUUUAAGUACAAGUUGGUUAGGUUGCCUGGGCAGCCAGGUGCUUUUGAUGUUUGGAAAUCAAUACAGCAGUGGCGGGAAGGGUUUUCUUCAAGGAUUGGUUUAAUUCUGCCAGACCUCACUUCGGGGACUGAAGGUAUCCCUGUGUCACUUGUAAAUGAUGUUGAUGAAGAGAAGGGACCUGCAUACUUCACAUACUUUGCUAGUGUCAAGUAUGUUAAAUCAUUUAAGUUAACAGAGCCUUCUUGUGGAUGCAACUGCCAUAAUGCAUGUGCCCCAGGUGAUCUGAACUGCUCUUGCAAUAGGAAAAAUGGAGGUGACUUCCCCUAUACUGCCAAUGGGGUUCUAGUUAGCCGGAGGCCGUUGGUUCAUGAAUGUGGUCCCACAUGUCCAUGCAUUCCCAACUGUAAGAACCGGGUGACACAAACUGGUUUAAAGGUUCGCUUGGAAGUGUUUAAAACCAAGGACAGAGGUUGGGGCCUGCGGUCAUGGGAUCCUAUUCGUGCUGGUACUUUUAUUUGUGAAUAUGCGGGUGAAGUUAUAGAAAAAGUAAAGGCAAGGCAGGAUGGAGAAGGUGAAGAUGAUGAUUAUGUGUUUGAUACAACACGUGUUUAUGAGCCAUUCAAAUGGAAUUGUGAACCUGGACUAGUGGAGGGGGAUGGUAAUGACACCACUGAGGAAUACAGCAUCCCUUCUCCUCUAAUCAUAAGUGCCAAGAAUGUUGGAAAUGUAGCUCGAUUUAUGAAUCAUAGUUGUAAUCCAAAUGUUUUUUGGCAACCAGUUGCGUAUGAACAAAAUAGUGAGUCCUACUUCCAUAUUGCAUUUUUUGCAAUGAAACACAUCCCCCCUAUGACAGAGUUGACUUAUGACUAUGGGACUUCCCGCUCGGAUGAGGCUGAUGGUAAUGAUUCAUUGCAUGGAAAAAAGAAAUGCCUGUGUGGAUCGCCAAGAUGCCGAGGUUGUUUUGGUUGAAGAUUGUCUAUGAACAAGCAUUGCUGCAAGCACGCCAUGGAUGGAUAGGUCUGCAAUCUGCCCCUUGUUUGUGUUUAAUGAACUUUGUUGUUGAUGAAAAAGUUUGUUGCUCAUCUUUGGAUGCAUGUGAUCUUGCAUUUGUUUGUGCUAUUCUACAAAAUGCACGUCCAUUUAUGUGUAAAUCAACAUGUGAACAAACACACACUCACCCUUUUGUAUUUACGCAUGCACAUGGCUCAGCUUAUCUAUUCCCAUAUUGGGCAAGUAUUUUGGGGAAAGGUUAUUUAACUUUAAGAUUCCAAACUACAAAAUAUAGAUUUUUAUUCCAAACUUUGAAUGUUUUAUGUGUCUACAUUGUUUGGUAGGAUAUUUUUCUCCACAUAUUCAUAGGUUGGAGAUUUGAAUACUGUCUUUUGAAUGGUAAAAUGAUUCUUUUUUGGAAUAAACAUCCAUUUAUCAAGGCUGAAGUGAUCAUAAAUGGAAACAGAUUAAUAGGGUAAAAGUGGACCUUAAGCACUGUGUGCUUGGGGAUCAUGCUGUAAAAAAAGUUGUUACUUAAGAUGAAUGGUGUGGAAACAUGGAAAGGGUUUGCUUAAGAAAUUUCUACUGUGUGGCAAGACCUGUUGAGAAUAAGUGGGUGCAGGAUUGUUCUAACCAGUUCGUUAAAUGCCUAAAAUAGACCAGUAGAGCCUCAGUCUGUAAGAUUGAUUGGAUUCCAACAGGAAUGGGGAAAGAAGUGAUACAGCCGAAAAUUUAUGCUUGCUGAAGUAGUAAAAACUAAUUUAGGUUCACAACGGCUCCCAAUGAAUUUUUAAAAAGGCGGCAUCUAUUUCUGUUUUGUAGGAGCCAUUGACACAGUGCCCAAAUCUGUUUUUUCUUUUUGAAAUACAUUUGUUCAAUUUUUAUUGAGUGUGGCAUCGAUGAGGUUUUACUGAGGCCCUUUCUAUGGUACUUCACAGCCAUCUUACUAUGAUCUUAGCUGUUAAGUGUUAAGUAAUGGUUUUGCUGCAAUAUGCGCAUUCUGCCUGUCCUUAUUAAGCUUCAGGCAUUUGAAAUAUUGUUGAUGGCAUAUUUUUAUAACUCAAAUCUAGAGAUAAUUAUACACAUCUUUUACAAGUCAAUUAACUUUGCAAUGUAUAUGUUCUUGGGUUAAAAUUUUUUCAAGUUUGCUCGGGAUUCUUCACUGCCUAUUGUAACAGCAGAAAUAUGAGAUAGAGUCUUUGAUCCUAGUAAAAGUAAAAAUUGUCGAAGAGAUCAUGUUUUUUGGCCUUUGGCUCUGUACAUGCAGAUUUGCCAAAUUCAUCUUUGCAUUACUUUCAUAGUUACUCUGUUGGAUGUAACUUCUUUCUGCCUGCUAAAUUAACCAGACAAUUUGACUGCUUAAUUUAUAGUGAAGUAAACCAUCCUAAAGGAUGAUACUUUAGAUCUCCCAUAGGCUGCUGAGCUUCCAUUGUAUGUGAAUGGCAUACUGCAAGCUCUCAUUGUUAUGCUAACAGGAAGUUUAAAUGUAAACAUUUCCAGCUGAGAAUAUGAAAAAUGAUAACCCAUAAUUUAGCUUUUUCUUGCUUUAGUAUAGAUUUUAAAUUUUCUUAUACUUCCGUUUCUUUUAAUGUGACAGCAAUUCUUGGCAAGUGCUGAAACCAUGCUUGUUUGGAGAAUUAUCCACCAAUGCAAAAUAUUUAUUACUUAGAAAGAUGGGAACAACUUUUUGUCUUUGGUUUCUCCUCAUCGUGCUCAGCCAUGUAGUAUAGAUCUACUUCUAAGGGCAGAUUUCAGUUUCCAACCUCAACAGAGGUCCUCUUCCUUAUAAUUUUGGGCAGGACCAUAAAUUAGUGAAGUUUAUUAGGGCUUGUAGUGUAAGGACAGACAUCAGAUUAGUUGUAUUGUUUUGUACUUGUGCUUGUAACCCAAGUAUUUUGUAUCAUGUCAAUAUUGCUGCAAGGCCAGUGUCUUUUGAGAGGGCCAUGGAACGUUUAAGCUUUUGUAUGCUUCAUUUUGCAACCCUCCAACGACUGGAUUUUCUUUCCUCUCGUUUCCUUUUCUGUAAGAUGACUUCUAAUAAGUUUUCCUUUUCUAAAUGUUGUUAUAGAGUUUUCUUCUUGAAGUUGAUAAAAGUGGCGUUUCACCGCUGGGAAACAGUAUCAUUUGCAGAAUUGUAUGUUUACUUAUCUCAUUUCACGUAUGAAGAAAAAUGUAGAAUGAAACGUAAGGCAAAUAACAAAGAGAAGUAAUCAAAGAUCAUAACAACCUUGAAAUUAGCCGGUUUAGCCUGGUCGCCUUCCACCACAAUCAAGCCUUAGCCUCCUGAGCAGCUGAUGUGCUAGGCUCUGCUUCUUUCGCUUCUACUUCUUGCCCUUCUUCUGCUUCUUUGACUUCGGCCCCGUCUGAGAAGUUCCAAGCCAAUAAGCAAAUGUUAUGAAUUCAAAGAAACAGCAAUGCAUGCAUAUUUGAACAAUUCAACACACUAAAUUGUUUCAUGUAAAAUAUGCCGGUAGAAAUUUUGGUACGAUGACCAAGACAAACUUUGUAAAUAAAUUUCUCAAGAAAUACAACUAUUUCAC